rnacentral:lncRNA from 13 species
AUGUUUCCAAUGCCAGGGUCAAUGAAGUUGUCCAACGAGUUUCCAAUCACAGUGUAUGAACACUUGUUAGAUUUGGCUUGGAACCUUUCCACUUUCCUCCAGGGCUCUUUGCUCAAGUUAAAUAUUUGUUUCUGGUCUAUACACUCCUCCUUGCUGAGGUUAAUUUCCAUGGGACUCAUGACGUCCUGGUCGGACUCAUUGAGCGGCAAGGUGGAGAUGAUGCCGUCAGAAGUCUGCACAACCAGGUGUUGGAAGUUCUCACCCUGGAACCACUUCCACAGGACGACUUCAAUGUUAACAACUGCCACCUUCAAAACAAGGUGUGCAAAGGAGGCUUUGGUGUGGCUUCUGUUGCAUAGUUGGGGCUGCCAUGGGGGGCAGGAGUGUCCCAGGCCUGGUAGCAGAAUUGAGGAGGGUGGUGUGGAGGGCAAAGCUCCAAACUCUCAUCAUUUUUUUUUUUUUACCUUUGUUUAACUACGCAAGUCAGUUAAGAACACAUUCUUAUUUACAAUGACAGCCUAGCAACAGUGGGUUAACUGGUCUAGGCAGAAACUAGCUAGUAGGACGGAAGGCAGUGGGGGUUUAUUAGAUCACCUACGAAUUCUCAGAAGGCAGCCCAACCUCCGUCCUCUUUUUCUCUGUCGUCUCUUCACGCAAAUAACGUGGAUUUGGGCCUGUUCCCGGGAAAGCAGUAUGUCAUUCACAUCAGGUUUGUCGGAUUCGUUAAUGGAAAAAAAAGCUUCUGCCAGUUCGUGGUGAGUAAUCGUUGUUCUGAUGUCCAGAAGUUUUUUUCAGUCAUAGCAACAACAUUAUGUACAAAAUAAGUUUAAAAAAUAAGUUACAAACAAUGCAAAAAACAAACAUAAAAGCACAAUCGGUUAGGAGCACGUAAAACGUCAGCCAUCUUCUCCAUCACCGUCUUCUCAAAUUGAAUGCAGGGACAGUGCACAUGGGCUGUGCAACUUUUGUUUUAGAAGUGGGAUAAACGCCAAACAGCAGUGUCCGCAAGGAGGCAUCCACAUGGUCCUAAAGCACACCGCUGCCUCGUUUUGUAUCACAUUCUAAUUAUAAUCAUAAACAUUUUUUAUUUCAGAAUGUGGGGGGGCAUGUGAAAG